CCAAGUAAGUUUGUUCUGGGUACGUAUAAGCUUUUGUGAGCUUUCAUGAGCAGAAGUGUGCAUGCACACAAAAGCUUAUAUGUACCCAGAACAAACUUACUUGGU